rnacentral:rRNA from 1 species
AUUGAACGCUGGCGGCAUGCCUUACACAUGCAAGUCGAACGGUAACGCGGGGCAACCUGGCGACGAGUGGCGAACGGGUGAGUAACGCAUCGGAACGUGCCCAGUAGUGGGGGAUAGCCCGGCGAAAGCCGGAUUAAUACCGCAUACGACCUACGGGUGAAAGGGGGGGAUCGCAAGACCCCUCGCUAUUGGAGCGGCCGAUGUCAGAUUAGGUAGUUGGUGGGGUAAAGGCCCACCAAGCCUUCGAUCUGUAGCUGGUCUGAGGGGACGACCAGCCACGCUGGGACGGAGACACGGCCCAGACUCCUACGGGAGGCAGCAGUGGGGAAUUUUGGACAAUGGGCGCAAGCCUGAUCCAGCCAUGCCGCGUGCGGGAAGAAGGCCUUCGGGUUGUAAACCGCUUUUGUCAGGGAAGAAACGCUCUGGGCUAAUACCCCGGGGUAAUGACGGUACCUGAAGAAUAAGCACCGGCUAACUACGUGCCAGCAGCCGCCGCGG